UACGGAGGAUGCAAGCGUUAUCCGGAUUCAUUGGGUUUAAAGGGUGCGUAGGCGGGCUAUUAAGUCAGUGGUGAAAUCCUGCAGCUUAACUGCAGAACUGCCGUUGAUACUGAUAGUCUUGAGUUUGGUUAAGGUAGGCGGAAUGUGUAAUGUAGCGGUGAAAUGCUUAGAUAUUACACAGAACACCAAUUGCGUAGGCAGCUUACUGAGCCGACACUGACGCUGAGGCACGAAAGCGUGGGGAUCAAACAGGAUUAGAUACC
rnacentral:rRNA from 1 species